rnacentral:rRNA from 1 species
GACGAACGCUGUCGGCGUGCUUAACACAUGCCAGUCGAACGGAAAGGCCCUGCUUUUGUGGGGUGCUCGAGUGGCGAACGGGUGAGUAACACGUGAGUAACCUGCCCUUGACUUUGGGAUAACUUCAGGAAACUGGGGCUAAUACCGGAUAGGAGCUCCUGCUGCAUGGUGGGGGUUGGAAAGUUUCGGCGGUUGGGGAUGGACUCGCGGCUUAUCAGCUUGUUGGUGGGGUAGUGGCUUACCAAGGCUUUGACGGGUAGCCGGCCUGAGAGGGUGACCGGCCACAUUGGGACUGAGAUACGGCCCAGACUCCUACGGGAGGCAGCAGUGGGGAAUAUUGCACAAUGGGCGGAAGCCUGAUGCAGCAACGCCGCGUGCGGGAUGACGGCCUUCGGGUUGUAAACCGCUUUCGCCUGUGACGAAGCGUGAGUGACGGUAAUGGGUAAAGAAGCACCGGCUAACUACGUG